GAUGAAGAACGUAGCGAAAUGCGAUAAGUAAUGUGAUUUGCAGAAUUCAGUGAAUCAUCGAAUCUUUGAACGCACAUUGCGCCCCCUGGUAUUCCGGGGGGCAUGCCUGUUCGAGCGUCAUUUCACCACUCAAGCCUCGCUUGGUAUUGGGCAACGCGGUCCGCCGCGUGCCUCAAAUCGACCGGCUGGGUCUUCUGUCCCCUAAGCGUUGUGGAAACUAUUCGCUAAAGGGUGUUCGGGAGGCUACGCCGUAAAACAACCCCAUUUCUAAGGUUGACCUCGGAUCAGGUAGGGAUACCCGCUGAACUUAAGCAUAUCAAUAAGCGGAGGA
rnacentral:misc_RNA from 1 species